GGUCCCUGGUCUCUCAUCUGAUCUUCUAUGUUCGCACUAUAACACCAUUCCUUUUUGCCUUUUCUCCAACAUCUUAUGGUGACUUCAGAAACCCCUCUCCAGGACUGAUUAUGGAACUUCAGUGGUAUUCAAGGAUACGCAGUAUACAUGGAAGUGGGUAUUACAGUUCCUGACUCCUCAGAAGUGUCUGGUUCAUGUUACUCCCCUAUUAUAUCUGAAGUAGAAUGAAGACAUCUCCUUUGCGGUCACUUCCUGGAUUUUCCUUUUCAAACAGGUGAGAACUUGGGGGAUAUGGGUACUUAUCCCUGCCUUACUAUGCAUUCUGUGUAUCUGAAUAUUUAUAUAUCUUAUGCACACGUAUUUUGUUUUUUGUCGAUGAUGCAUAUAUGUAUAGAAACUUUCUGGAAGAACACUCAAUAAAUUAUUAAUUAUUAUUUUUUAUUUAAAAGAUUU